GAUGAAGAACGUAGCGAAAUGCGAUAAGUAAUGCGAAUUGCAGAAUCCGUGAGUCAUCGAAUCUUUGAACGCAUAUUGCGCCCUUUGGCAUUCCGAAGGGCAUGCCUGUUCGAGCGUCAUUAUCACCCCUCAAGCCCCGGCUUGGUGUUGGGCCCCCGGUGGUCGUACCCGACCACCCGCCUCAAAGAUAGUGACGGCGUCCCAGAGGGAACCGGUACGAGGAGCUUUCACGAGCAUGUACGCGGGGACGACUCUGUGGGCGACGGUCUUUUUUAACCUUAAUAUAUCAAGUGUUGACCUCGGAUCAGGUAGGAAUACCCGCUGAACUUAAGCAUAUCAAUAAGCGGAGGA
rnacentral:misc_RNA from 1 species